rnacentral:misc_RNA from 1 species
GAUGAAGAACGUAGCGAAAUGCGAUAAGUAAUGUGAAUUGCAGAAUUCAGUGAAUCAUCGAAUCUUUGAACGCACAUUGCGCCCGUCAGUAUUCUGGCGGGCAUGCCUGUUCGAGCGUCAUUACGCCCCUCAAGUCCCCUGUGGACUUGGUGUUGGGGAUCGGCGAGGCUGGUUUUCCAGCACAGCCGUCCCUUAAAUUAAUUGGCGGUCUCGCCGUGGCCCUCCUCUGCGCAGUAGUAAAACACUCGCAACAGGAGCCCGGCGCGGUCCACUGCCGUAAAACCCCCCAACUUUUUAUAGCUGACCUCGAAUCAGGUAGGACUACCCGCUGAACUUAAGCAUAUCAAUAAGCGGAGGA